CUUAUGAUGAGCUGCAUUCUCUGAGCUUAAGUGAUCUAAAAAAAAAACAUGUCCUCUAAGAAGUUCUGAUAGGA
rnacentral:snoRNA from 1 species